rnacentral:misc_RNA from 1 species
GGCAAAUGAAACUCAUUGGUACUUGAUGAAAACGAGAAAAGACUAAAUGAAAGAAAAUAAAAUAAUGAUUGCAAACUUCAGUUUAGAAAAACCCAAUGAAUAACAAGUAAACUUAGGAUGUUGCCAUUAUUAGCAUUGAUGUUACUUAUGCUUUCUAUGGUUCAGGCAUACUCCAUCUCAUAUGUAUAUAACCAUAUGAAUAACAAGUAAGGUUAGGAUAUUGCCAUUAUUAGCAUUGGUGUUAAUUAUGCUUGCUAAGGUUCAGGCAUAGUCCAUCUCAUAUGUAUCUAAACAUAGGUUAAGGCAUGAAGUGAAA